ACUCCUGCGGGAGGCAGCAGUGGGGAAUUUUGGACAAUGGGCGAAAGCCUGAUCAAGCCAUGCCGCGUGCAGGAUGAAGGCCUUCGGGUUGUAAACUGCUUUUGUACGGAACGAAACGGCCUUUUCUAAUAAAGAGGGCUAAUGACGGUACCGUAAGAAUAAGCACCGGCUAACUACGUGCCAGCAGCCGCGGUAAUACGUAGGGUGCAAGCGUUAAUCGGAAUUACUGGGCGUAAAGCGUGCGCAGGCGGUUAUGUAAGACAGUUGUGAAAUCCCCGGGCUCAACCUGGGAACUGCAUCUGUGACUGCAUAGCUAGAGUACGGUAGAGGGGGAUGGAAUUCCGCGUGUAGCAGUGAAAUGCGUAGAUAUGCGGAGGAACACCGAUGGCGAAGGCAAUCCCCUGGACCUGUACUGACGCUCAUGCACGAAAGCGUGGGGAGCAAACAGGAUUAGAUACCCGAGUAGUCCCAUG
rnacentral:rRNA from 1 species